ACAAAGAUGCUCAGAGGGCUGCAGCACCUCCCCUACAAAGACAGGCUGAGGGAGCUGGGCUUGUUCAGCCUGGAGAAGAGAAGGCUGCGGGGUGACCUCAUUGCAGCCUUCCAGGACCUCCAGGGAGCCUCCAAACAGGAGGGGAGGCAACUCUUGGAAAGGGCAGAUAACAGCAGGACGAGGGGAAGUGGUGUGAAGUUGAAGGACGGCAGAUUGAGGUUGGAUGUGAGGGGGAAGUUGUUUGCUAUG
rnacentral:lncRNA from 1 species